rnacentral:lncRNA from 1 species
GUUUGAUUCAUAUAAAAAAUUUCAAAAUGCGAGUUUUGAGUAUUGUGAUUAUAACCCUGUCGCAUUUUUUCACAAUAAUAAAAACAUCUCAAUAAUUUCUGAAUUACUAGUAACAAAUUCACUUAUCUAAUUGAACAACAACACAAAACCAUACACAAUAUACAAUAUCAGAAAACUAUAAUAAUCUGAGGUAUAUCUACAAAAAAAAAUCUGCCAAACUACAUCAUAUUCUUGGAUCUAGCAUAUAACUUACUUGAAUAAAUUUUACAUGUUUAUAAAAUCUGACUAGCUUAAUUACAGUGAAACUGGUCUUGACAUAAACCCUGGUCUAACAUUGUAUGUGUGUACAACUAGCAUUCUUUGAUAUUUCAACAUGUGAACAAAAUGGCUUCUGUUUAAUCUGGUUUAUAUAGUACUGCAUGUACUGGAUUCACUGAUUUUAAUUUGAAGACGAACUUAAUUUCUUACUGAAUUUCUUGAUAUUUCUCAAUAUAUAAUUUUGCAUAGAUAAAAUAAUCUCUAUUACUAUAAAUAAAAGUUUCACAGUCAAGUAUUUACUGUAAAUUUUCAAAAUAUGAAUAUUGUAAAUUAUAACAAAUGUAUGGUCCCCAGUUUUAUAAAACAUACCCAAUAGGUCUCUUUAUCCCUCUUAAAAAAAAAUGACAAUACAGAUCAUAUAUCAAGUUCUAAACAGUUUUAAAUGUAUCCAAUGGGAUAUGUCAUAUAUAUUUGAAAACACAACCUGAAAAUGUUGUAUUUUUUUUAUAUGGAAUUGUUUUAAUAGAUAUAAAUAACAAGUCAGACAUAUACCAGAUAUUCAGUAACUCAAGAAUUUAAUUUAGAUGUUGAAAUAAAAUGGAUACAAUAAAAAGAUAUACAUAAUAUAAA